AAAAGACUAUUCUUGCUUGCGAAUCUGGGUCUGGGAAGCCCGUGGAAAGUCAAAUUCUUCUUUAUGUUUGCUGCAUCUGUGGAUAAAUGAUUCAUCAACUUCAUGACUUCCUCGAAACUUAUUCCUCGACCCCUUUAGUCAUGUCUUUACUUGAUCUGCAGCUGUGCAGCUCCCAUACGCUUAUGCAUCGGUUCUUAGAAAAUAACAGAACAAUGCUUUAGAAAAGCAAUCUCCUAAUAAAUAUGCCUCGACCUCUUCUAGGAGGCUAUCAAAAUUCAGAGCACAUGGAAAUCAACUAGAAUGCACAGAACUGAUGAAUCAAUGUGUGAGUAUGAAAUAGAGUGCUCGACUAUUACAUUCUCAUUGCCAAUCAUUUCUUGAUUUGAAGUCGCCUCUGGCUCGUACUUGGUAUCUCCUUCCAUGUCUACGCUGCUGUUUCGACUCAAUGUUGCUUAAGUAUUUGGAGUAAACACUGAUAGCGGAUGAUAGAUGGCCAAACCUGUGGGCACCGUGGCAAUCAAGUACCUGUCCAGGACUACUAGAAAUUUUGUUGAA